UACGUAGGGUGCAAGCGUUAAUCGGAAUUACUGGGCGUAAAGCGUGCGCAGGCGGUUUUGUAAGACAGGUGUGAAAUCCCCGGGCUUAACCUGGGAACUGCAUUUGUGACUGCAAGGCUGGAGUGCGGCAGAGGGGGAUGGAAUUCCGCGUGUAGCAGUGAAAUGCGUAGAUAUGUGGAGGAACACCGAUGGCGAAGGCAGCCCCCUGGGCUAACACUGACGCUCAUGCACGAAAGCGUGGGGAGCAAACAGG
rnacentral:rRNA from 1 species